GAAAUUAGCAAAUGCCGUUAUACAUUUAGCAGAUGUACCUACCUCAAAUUAUUCCAAAAGGAUGAGAUGAAAUUAAAUAUAUAUAAACCAUAAUUCAAUAUCCAAUUUAGAGAACAUUUUCGUAUGUCCAGAACUACUUUCCAGGAACUAUUUAAUUGUAUUGAUCAUAUCCACCAAUUUGAAAACAGAAUAAUUCUAUUGGAAAAAAUUAAUGUUUAUGAUUUGGAUGCUAAGUAAACCAGAGAAUUUGUUGCUGGGGAUACGUUUGGUUUGCCAAAGAGCUGUGGACAUAAGAUUUUCACCCAAAUAAUAUAGAAUUACAAAAAAUUGGAAAUAACUAAUCUUGAAUAUCAAUGUGUAUAUCGAGUUUAAUUUUAUUGUAAAUAUUCUAUAAUAUAAUUUUAUUGUAAAUAUUGUAUUAACACAUUUGUGGACACAUCUUUAUAUGCAGACAGUAAUUUCCCUUUGUAAGUACAUGCAUAUAUAGUCGUAUCUGCGAAUGGGUUAAUUGUAAAUCGUAAUCAAUAAAAAACUGGUUUGUUUGAAAAUAAAUGUAGUACAAAUA
rnacentral:lncRNA from 1 species